CGCGUAGGCGGUCCGACAAGUCAGGGGUGAAAUCCUGCAGCUUAACUGCAGAAGUGCCUUUGAUACGGUCGGUCUUGAGCGAGAUAGGGGUGUGCGGAACUCACAGUGGAGCGGUGAAAUGCGUUGAUAUUGUGAGGAACGCCGGAGGCGAAAGCGGCGCACUGGAUCUCUUCUGACGCUGAGGCGCGAAAGCUAGGGAGCAAACG
rnacentral:rRNA from 1 species